CUUCAGUGAUGAUACGAUGACGAGUCGGAAGAGGACACGGUCUGGUUCUGUGGGUUACUGGACCAGGUCCACGUUCUGUGGUUCUGGUGUGGUUCCUCAGGCCGGGGUGUCCUUUUCAGUUGAAGACAUAGAGGCAUUUGUCUGAGAAGG
rnacentral:snoRNA from 1 species